AUUAAGUUUAAUUUAAUAUAGGAUCUGCUCAAUGAUUUAUUAAAUAGCUGCAGUAUUUUGACUGUGCAAAGGUAGCAUAAUAAUUAGUCUUUUAAUUGAGGACUUGUAUGAAAGAUUUGAUGAGAAAUAAACUUUAUUAUUUAUAUAAUUAAAAUUUUAUUUUUAAGUAAAAAAGCUUAAAUUAUUUAAAGGGACGAUAAGACCCUAUAAAACUUUAUAAAUAUUAAUUUUAAUUUUUUUGGAUUAUAAAUAUUUUAAUUUUAAUAUUUAUUUUAUUGGGGUGAUAAAAAAAAUUAUUAAACUUUUUUUAAAAUUUUACAUUAUUUAAUGAAUUUUUGAAUUAAAAUUUUUAAUUAUAGGAAAAAGUUACUUUAGGGAUAACAGCGUAAUUAAUUUUUUAAGUUCAAAUUUAAAAAUUAGUUUGCGACCUCGAUGUUGAAUUAAGAUUAAUCUUAGGUGCAAAAUUUUAAGUAUUAGGUCUGUUCGACCUUUAAAUUCUUACGUG
rnacentral:rRNA from 1 species